CACCGCCCGUCACAUCAUGAAAGCCGGUUGUACCCGAAGUCCGCAGGCUAACCGCAAGGAAGCAGCGGCCGAAGGUAUGGCUGGUGAUUGGGAUGAAGUCGUAACAAAGGUACC
rnacentral:rRNA from 1 species